rnacentral:rRNA from 1 species
UACGGAAGGCAGCAGUGGGGAAUAUUGCACAAUGGGCGCAAGCCUGAUGCAGCCAUGCCGCGUGUAUGAAGAAGGCCUUCGGGUUGUAAAGUACUUUCAGUCGUGAGGAAGGUGUUAAGGUUAAUAACCUUAGCAAUUGACGUUAGCGACAGAAGAAGCACCGGCUAACUCCGUGCCAGCAGCCGCGGUAAUACGGAGGGUGCGAGCGUUAAUCGGAAUUACUGGGCGUAAAGGGCACGCAGGCGGUUAAUUAAGUUGGAUGUGAAAUCCCCGGGCUUAACCUGGGAAUGGCAUUCAAGACUGGUUAGCUAGAGUCUUGUAGAGGGGGUAGAAUUCCAUGUGUAGCGGUGAAAUGCGUAGAGAUGUGGAGGAAUACCGGUGGGCGAAGGCGGCCCCUGGGACAAAGACUGGCGCUCAUGUGCGAAAGCGUGGGGAGCAAACAGGGAUUAGAUACC